rnacentral:lncRNA from 1 species
AAAACACAGAAGAGGGCUUCAUUUCCUAUGUUACACGGCUAAGUCCACUACAUCUCCCUCACCAUGGGAUCCCUGCUUUGCCCAUUAAAACGUGACUCAUUUUUUUUAAAUAGAGCAAAUUUCCUUAUUAUUAAUGAUAGUAAAGAAGUCCAAAAAGGGUACCAGAGGCACAGGAAAAAGUUUAAAGCACUAAUUAUCUAUCUCCCCCACAGAGCAUUACAUAAUGUAGAAAAGGAAAGCCCAGAGAAGGAUUCUUGUCCUUCACUCACUUCCUAACUUAUCAGUUACAUUUAGAUAAACUUAACUAAACUUCUGGUCUUCAAAACAUUUAACAGUAAUAGAAAAGGGAGACACUUUGCCCAGA